UGGGGCCGGACAUGGGGCCGGACAUGGAGCCUUCCCGCCCUCGGGCCCUGAGGGGCGAGCGGGACCAGGAGCUUUCCCCGCCCCGAGGCUCUGAGGGGCGGGCGGUGCCGCCCUGAAUUUCCUGAAUUUGUAAGGGUCUGGGAAGGAAACCAUUUAUCCUCUGAAGGCGACAUAACGGCGUGGUCUAGGUUGACCUUGCUGCUAUCUCUGGCCUCUUUAAAAAACAAAUGGCAACAAGAGUAACGCUUAUACAGUGGUUUGCAUGAAUAUCUACGUCUAAUGACUUGGUUAUGAGAAGCCUUGUUUCCAUUUUCAAACCUUUUGUCGUGAUUUCAGGGAGUUUCACUGUAACUGUCGCCUGCCUUGCUCUGGUCACUCGUAUCUCCUGUGUGAGAGCACCCCUUGUUUUGUAAGAGGACUUUGAUAUAACUCUCCUGUGAGGGGCCAGAGGCUGAGGAGGGUCCCUGUGGCAGGCAGGGAGCACGUUUUCUUUUGGUCAUCAGACUUCUCCCACUGGUUUUAUGGCAAACACCACAGAGCUCAUGGCUGUGAAGGCCUCAAAUAGUUCUGCAAAACAACGUGUUGUUUUCCUUCUUCAGGUAAAGAAUAUCAGGUUGAUGCAGUGGAGUUAAUAAUGAUGAAAAGGGAAGAAAUUUGUGUUCCCAGCCUUUAAAGGGAACGAGGCUCACAAACCGAGUGCCCCGUUCUGUGUUGGCUCCUCAUUUUCACGGAAAAGACUAUUAAGUUUGGAAAAGACCUCCAAGGAAUGAGCUUAAGCCUGACCAUCUUCAGAAACAGCAUUUGGAGACAGGAUAGUUGAUUUUAUCCAGAAAAUAUAAUAUGGUCAACUGGAAUUUACUUCCAUGGCAUGAUUUCUCAAUUGGUUAAGAGCAGUUGCUUAUUCAGAAAUUGCUUCCUUAUGAUCUUUCUGUUGAACAGCCACUGAGACAGGAAAAAACCUGUGUUUUUUUUCCUUAUAUUUUUUUCCUUUGAGCCUCUCCACUCUCAUCUCUGGUCUUAUAUUAGGAAGUGCUCUUAUUUUUACAAUUUAAAUUGGUAAAUUUGUACAUUAAUUUCUAAGAGGAAAAUGCUUUCAUUACUCCAUAAAUGCAUUUGAGCCUGCAAUUUGCUUUUUUUCCGUGAGAUUUAAAA